GGGACUGUGGCUUGGUGGUUCAGCAAUCUGCUUUGCAUGCAGAAGGUCCUGGGUUCAAGCCCCAGGUUAGUACUG